rnacentral:lncRNA from 1 species
AACAUUCAAAUAUCAAAAAUCACAAAAACAUUUUCAUAACAAACCUUGAUUCUCAAAUCAAGUGAUCGUUCUUUUUAUUUUCUUUCUUAAUCAAAUUUCAAAUCAAUUCUAAUUCAACUUUGAGUCAAUUUUCUUCAAUCUAAAAAACACAAACAAAUUCCAAUUUGCCACUUGGGUUUUUAUUUCAAACCUUUUUCAAAACUAAUAAAAAACACAAAAUCAACCAAACGUCAAUUUCUACCCCGAACUACGAGGUUUUGAUCCCUCACGGGUACGUAGGCAGAGGACCUUGUCCUUCCAAAUCAACUAAAAAACAAUUUUCUUUUUUUCUCUUCAAUCAAAAUCAAUUUUCAUUUUCUUUUCAACUCAUCAUUCAAUUCUAUUUUCAUCUCUUCAAAAGCAAGCAAGUUUAAGCACAAAAAGUUAAAUAAAAUCAAGAGGUACUCGUAGAGUACUACGAAUAUUUAGGGUGCUAAUACCUUCCCUAAAUAUAACCAACCCCCGAACCCUAAAUCUCUUCAAAAUGGGUGGUUUGGAACUUUUUCCCCUUAAAAAAAAUUUGUUCAGUCGUGAGAUAAAAAGUGAGUCAAAAGUGAAUCAAAUGGCCUUGACAUCCGAAAAAUGGCGCGACAGAAAUGGCAACUUCACUGAGGACCCCCUAAGAGGGUUAAGCCUAAAUUGGCUUUAUUUAAUUCUUUGUGCUAUAACUUGAUUACAAAUCAAAAAUGGAAAUAUGUGCAUAUAUGUUCUUCCUUCUCUUUCUUCUUUCUAAUGUGAGUGGUGAGAUAAGUUCUAACCCGGACUUGAGGGAAAUAUAAGAUAGGAGUGGUAGAAUCAUAGUGACAUUCCGAGAAUUUUCUCGUGUUUUGGAACAUGUGAUAUGGCCACACCUAGCGGAGGAGCUUGAAGUGAUAUAUGUCGGCGUGUGUUUUCACGUUUAGACUUAAAGAUACAAUUGAAAAUAAUUGAUUCAUGAAUCAAAUAUUACGGACAAACAAAAAUAAAAAUCUAGUUACAUAGGUACGAAAUCAAUUCAUCAUCUGUGACAUCUACCCAUCCUGUGAUUCCAAAUCAACAGAUUUAUUGAUCAACUCAUGAGUUGAGUAAACUAAUCGAAUGAAAAUAUUUUCAUUUUUUUAUUUUAAUAAUUAAUAAAAAGCUCUAUCCUUUUACUGGACGACUAAUUAAUUCAAUUCUUGAAAAUGAAAUAAAGAAAUAAAAUUAAUUUUAUAGUACUUGAUCUCGCCACUGAUUGUGAAAUUUCGUUGCUGUGUUAGAAGAAGUAUUACUCUUAAGUUUCCAUUGAAGCUAAGGACCUUUAGUAACCAUUAACCCAUCUUGGCCUUUUAGGACGUAGUGCGGUGGCUAAUCAAGAGUAGUCUUGGUAUAGUUGAUACGCGAUACUACACUCAGACGAGACUUUCUUACGAACGUUGUUGGACCGGAAGUAUUUCCGCAACCCGAUGACAUUCGGAAGCGGUUAAAGACUCUGAGAACUUGGUAGAACCCAUGAUACAGGUACAAAUGAAACCAUAGUCCUUACCAAAUUGCGUUUUUACCCUUGACUCCAACAUUAUGAGCUUAACCUCACCAUGUUUUCACUGUUUGUGUAGCAUAAUCAUGCAUACAUGCAUUCAUUCAUAAACAACUUUUGCCAUCAAACAUCGAAGGAUUUAGACAAGUUCUUUGCAAACAUCACAGAUGAACAAACCUUGUAAGGAAGAAACACCAAGAAAUUCAAACUUCAAAAAUCUUAACAAAAAUCUUACCCUUUAAAGGAACCUAUUGCAAUAUCUUUACAAUUUUCAAAUGAAACCAGGUUCCUCUAUAAUGUUUCCAAUUACUUUGACAAAUCCUUAAAAAAAAAUGUGUCUAUUUUUUGCAUAAGCAUAUCAUGCAUCAUCUUGCAUUUCAUAGUCUCAAAUCCAAGUCUCACACAGAUCUUCUUUUCCAUCAAAGGUCAAAAGUGGUACGAUGUCUUCGUUCAAUCUCAGCUCACAUAUGCAAACACUCGUGCAAACACAUAAAAUGGAUCAACUUGAACAAGAGGUCCAGAGCUUCGUAAAGAAAUGACAGGGCUUUGGGCCAAGGUAGAGGAAUUAACCAACCGGUUAUCUUCGCUGACGGUUACAAAAGAUCUACCACAAUUCCAGCGAAGGCCCCAACCACCACGUCAGCCGUCAUGCACGCAACAACCUCGACAACAGGCCCCUCAAUAAUCUAAUCCACAGAAUCAGGCUCGGAGAGCACGUUAUGAUCCAAUUCCCAUAAAAUAUGCGGAGUUGCUCCCAAUUUUGCUUGAGAAGAACCUGGUCCAAACUAGAGCGCCUCCUCGGGUGCCUGACAAGUUGCCAGCUGGGUAUCGAUCUGAUCUCUCAUGUGCCUUUCAUCAAGGGACACCUGGCCAUGACAUUGAGCAUUGUUACGCUUUGAAAGCCGAAAUCCAGAAGCUGGUUCAAGCCAAAAAGAAUUGAACCCAAAUGUGCAAGUCAAUCCUCUCCCGGAUCAGGGUAGCUGAUGUUGCGACACAUGGAGCGGAUAACCGCGAUUGUCACAUUGAUAUUCCUUCUACUACCCAUCCGUUCAAAUAAUGCGUUUGUUUGUUGUUUACUGCUCUUCAAAAAAAUCCUUUCGUCCCGCCCAAGACGAAAGUGAACUUAUUUAGGGCUUUUUGCUUCAGGCAUGUUCCAUCAUUAAUAAAAAGUCACUUUGAUCCCGACUUUGCUUUUUAUUUUUGUGUUUUUUCUAGAAAAAUGGUAAUACAAAAAACCCAAAAAAAUUCUUUUAAUCAUUUUCAAUUAUCUGCAUAAUCAUAACUUAUACUUACUCGUCAAAAUCAAUAAUCAAAUCAUGCAUUAAUAAACCCUUUGAACACAAUAACCAUGGACUCUCUUCCAACUUUGAGUUCCCUAUGUAUGAAGAUGAAGGGACUCCCGAUGAAAUCUCCCACAUACUGGGGCAUCUUAGCCGUCGAAUCUACAAACAAAAAUAUCAAGAAGAAUGUCCAGAAGAUGACUUUCAUUUGCAAAAACGGGCACAAGAUGCUGCCAUCCGCACUUCAUGAGUAUAGUACUUCAAUGCACAUUUCAAUAGGGGCAAGCUCCCCCUCCAUCCCUCAGUAUACAACAUGAAGGUUGUGCUUCCCGUGGAGGUCGAAGUCCCGACAAUAGGAGUUCUACCGAAGUCCAAGCUUGAUUGAACUUAAAAUGCACGACGACCUUGUACAACUAUAUCAAAAGAGGUUGAAACGAACUUCAAACAAGAAGGUUCGUCCCCAUGAAUUUCAAGGAAGAGAUUUUUUGCCCAAAAAGUAUGAUCUUUCCAACCAGACUCCAGGGGCAAAUGGACGCCUAACUAUGAAAGCCCAUGUGCACUGACUCUUGUGCCUACAAAUGGUGACAAACUCACACGUCCUAUGAAUGCCAAUGCAGUCAAGAAAUACUUUGUCGAAAAAUGAAAGCUCGAUAAGUCGCAAACCUGAAAAGGCGGCUUAGGCAAAAAUGAGCGUCUCGGUGGACUGAAAACCAAAAAGGGCGGUCCAGGCAAAAAUUAGAGACAUGAACAAAAAUGAUUAUCCUGAUAGAUUGAAAACCCAAAAGGGCGAUCUAUGCAAAAGUUAAGGAUCAAAAGACAAAGUAACUGCAUCAGUCGGGCACCAUCCACUUGGGGCAUAUCUAGCUAUCAAAAGACUUCUGACUCGAAGCAUCUACAAAUCAACGACUCAGAACACGGGCAUUCAAAGUUGUUAGGGAGAAUAACGGUUAUUGUGUUCAAUGAACCCUUCCCAUUACAUUUAUCAUUUUUCAAAUUUUUUAAAAGAUCCGUGGAGCCAUGCCAUUGGCAGGUUACCACUCAAUUCAUCAAAUUUAAGCCUGUGCCCAUUUAUUUGGAACUCUCAUUUCUAUUUUGCAUAAUUUCUUCUAUUUUUAAUGGUAAUACUUAAAGCAAAAAUUUUCAAAAUACAAAACAUUUUUUCUUUUGAAAAGUGUGAACAACAAACACACUCUCUUUGAACUCAUGAGUAGGUGAAGCGUACAUCAACAUUCGCCUCGAGAACGGUUACACUCCGGAAGAGAAACAGGGCCAGGCACUAUGGAAAGGACCUCUGCCUUGAGCAAGAUGCUGUCACAGUCCAAGAAAUACAAAAACAAAAGCUCGCUAAGUUGAAAACCUGAAAAGGCAGCUUAGGCAAUAGAGAGUGUCCCGGUGGACUGAAAACCCGAAAGGGCGGUCCAGGCAAAAAUUAGGGGCACAAAAAAGGAAUAUAUUCCCGGUGGACUGAAAACCCAAAAGGUCGGUCUAGGCAAAAGUUAGGGAUUUCAAAAAAAAGAAAAAAAAACACGACUGUUGAAGCAUGCCAGGGGAAGAACAGCCUGCGUCGUCUUACAAAUGGCGACUUCUUCCAGACUUUUGGUCAACAAUGGGCUCUAUCUCCAAGAGACAUCAGUUGCUACCUUGUGCCGGGUGUUACCCCGUCAACGGUUCAAUUUGUUCACAGUAAUAUCAUCUUCAAAGAAGUUUGCUGAGUGUUUGUACUGCGAUGUCAGUCCGCCUCCCAUCUUACAUAUCUUGUCUCAUUUCAUCGAGUUUACCUGUCGUAUAUAGUCUAUACAAUCAUACAGUUGCACUUUCACAUAUUCACACAUCAAUACAUUCACACAUCCAUACAUUCAUACAUUCAUGCAUUCAUCAAUAUUUUCACAUAUUCAUACGUCCAUGCAUACACAGCAUAUCCACAACAUCAUCCAUACAUGGCCGCAUCAGUUCGCCCAUAGUCUUGUUUGGCUGUAUCCUUUCGUCUCAUUCCUCAAUUAAUCAAUUGUCAAUUUCAAUUUCAAAAGUGUCAUCCCCAGCAAAAGCUGUGCCACUGAUGUCACUAGUCAAUUUCAAUUUCAAUUCCAAUAGUGUCAUCCCCAGCAAAAGCUGUGCCACUGANGUAUAUUGGGAAAACGGGGUGUUACAGUAAACAUAAACCCCAUAUUACAAAUCGAAUCAACCACAAACCAAAUCUAAACAGCACAAACACAAAAUCAUCAUCAACCCCAAAUCCAUACAACCAAGUCUGACCCAUACAAGCAUCUCACAAACCGAAACACAAAUCGGUUUUAAGCUUUAAAGGUUACUCUUUUUUUCUUUCAUUUCUUUUAGAUCUAGGGUUGAAGGGUUUGAUUUCGGGAAUUUUAAGGCUAAAAACGUAUAGAGGAGAGGGAGUAGAAUACAAAGAACAAAAAAAAAAAAAGGAGUAUAGAAUCACACCGGCGCGGCCAUCUUGGCCGGCCGGCCACCGCGCCAACCACCGCUCUUCUCACCGGAGAAGAUGAAGAAAGGGAGGAGUGAGCUUCUCUCUCUAAAAGAAGUUAGAGAGAGAAAAGGGAAGGAAAAAUGAAAGAAAACCGGCCUUACCCCUAUUUAUAAUAUCAGUCCGAACCGGUUUAGUCUCUGAACCGGCCUAAACCCCUCUCAGAGGCCCAGACGCGCCUGUUGUCUCCUUUGGCCCAAUUCAACUUUUUUUUUCAUUACCGCACCCCCCUUUACUGCUUAUACACCCCCCAACAUCCUUGUUUUUUUUUAUUUUUUUAUUUCUUUUUCAUGCAUUUUAAUUCUCUCUCUAUCUGUUAAUCCAGAGUGCUCUGGUCAUAAAUUAACUGUUAAUAUUAUAUUUUUGUUUAAUUUAAUUAUUCUCCAGAAUAAUCUGGUCCUUGUUAAUUAAAUUAAUCCAGAGUGUUCUGGUCCUAUAUUAACUGUUAAUAUUAUAUUUUUGUUUAAUUUAAUUAUUCUCNUACAAUCAGAACCAAAAACAAGGAACAAAUCCACAAUACCAUCAAUCCAAAUCCUCACAAAAUCACACAAACGCAUCAACCAAGUAUCAAUCACGCGCACAACAAUCAAAUCCAGUAAACAUAAACCAUAUUACAAAUCCAAUCAACCACAAACCAAAUCUAAACAGCACAAACACAAAAUCAUCAUCAACCCCAAAUCCAUACAACCAAGUCUGACCCAUACAAGCAUCUCACAAACCGAAACACAAAUCGGUUUUAAGCUUUAAAGGUUACUCUUUUUUUUUCUUUCGUUUCUUUUAGAUCUAGGGUUGAAGGGUUUGAUUUCAGAAAUUUUAAGGCUAAAAGCGUAUAGAGGAGAGGGAGUAGAAUACAAAGAACAAAGAAAAAUUAAAAAAAGGAGUAUUGAAUCACACCGGCGCGGCCAUCUUGGCCGGCCGGCCCCCGCGCCAACCACCGCUCUUCUCACUGGAGAAGAUGAAGAAAGGGAGGAGAGAAGAGAGAGCUUCUCUCUCUAAAAGAAGUUAGAGAGAGAAAAGGGAAGGAAAAAUGAAAGAAAAUCGGCCUUACCCCUAUUUAUAAUAUCAGUCCGAACCGGUUUAGUCUCUGAACCGGCCUAAACCCCUCUCAGAGGCCCAGACGCGCCUGCUGUCUCCUUUGGCCCAAUUUAACCUUCUUUUUUCAUUACCGCACCCCCCAGCAUCCUUUCUUUGUUUUUUAUUUCUUUUUCAUGCAUUUUAAUUCUCUCUCUCUAUCUGUUAAUCCAGAGUGCUCUGGUCCUAUAUUAAUUGUUAAUAUUAUAUUUUCGUUUAAUUUAAUUAUUCUCCAGAACAAUCUGGUCCUUGUUAAUUAAAUUAUCCAGAGUGCUCUGGUCCUAUAUUAACUUUUAAUAUUAUAUUUUUGUUUAAUUUAAUUAUUCUCCAGAACAAUCUGGUCCUUGUUAAUUAAAUUAAUCCAGAGUGCUCUCGUCCUAAGUUAAUUGUUAAUAUUAUAUUUUUGUUCUCCAGAGUGUUCUGGUCCUAUAUAUAUUAAAUACUAUUUAUCUCGUUGAACUAACAUAAACCAAAAAUCUUUUCUUCACGCACACGCACUUUUAUUUUCAUUACUCCUUAGUUUAAUUUUCAUUUACUAUUCAACACAACAAAAACAUUCAAAUAUCAAAAAUCACAAAAACAUUUUCAUAACAAACCUUGAUUCUCAAAUCAAGUGAUCGUUCUUUUUAUUUUCUUUCUUAAUCAAAUUUCAAAUCAAUUCUAAUUCAACUUUGAGUCAAUUUUCUUCAAUCUAAAAAACACAAACAAAUUCCAAUUUGCCACUUGGCUUUUUAUUUCAAACCUUUUUCAAAACUAAUAAAAAA